UACGUAGGGAGCAAGCGUUGUCCGGAAUCAUUGGGCGUAAAGCGCGUGUAGGCGGCUUGGUAAGUCUGCUCUGAAAGCCCGGGGCUCAACCCCGGGAGGCGGGUGGAUACUGCUGAGCUCGAGUCCGGAAGAGGCGAGUGGAAUUCCUGGUGUAGCGGUGAAAUGCGCAGAUAUCAGGAGGAACACCGGUGGCGAAGGCGGGUCUCUGGGCCGUAACUGACGCUGAGGAGCGAAAGCAUGGGGAGCGAACAGG
rnacentral:rRNA from 1 species